AUUGAACGCUGGCGGCACGCCUUCCACAUGCAAGUCGAACGGCAGCACGGGAGCAAUCCUGGUGGCGAGUGGCGCACGGGUGAGUAAUAUAUCGGAACGUGCCCAGUCGUGGGGGAUAACGUAGCGAAAGCUACGCUAAUACCGCAUACGAUCGAUGGAUGAAAGCGGGGGAUCGCAAGAACUCGCGCGAUUGGAUCGCCCGAUAUCAGAUUAGGUAGUUGGUGAGGUAAAGGCUCCCCAAGCCGACGAUCUGUAGCUGGUCUGAGAGGACGACCAGCAACACUGGGACUGAGACACGGCCCAGACUCCUACGGGAGGCAGCAGUGGGGAAUUUUGGACAAUGGGGGCAAGCCUGAUCCAGCAAUGCCGCGUGCAGGAUGAAGGCCUUCGGGUUGUAAACUGCUUUUGUACGGAACGAAACGGCGAGCUCUAAUACAGUUUGCUAAUGACGGUACCGUAAGAAUAAGCACCGGCUAACUACGUGCCAGCAGCCGCGGUAA
rnacentral:rRNA from 1 species